UCCUUGGUAGCUGAGACGGUAAAGCAUCUGCCUGCAAUGCAGGAGACCCGGGUUUGAUUCCUGGGUUGGGAA
rfam:TPA: Bos taurus chromosome 12, whole genome shotgun sequence.